UACGGAGGGGGCUAGCGUUAUUCGGAAUUAUUGGGCGUAAAGGGCGUGUAGGCGGCUUCGUAAGUCUUGUGUGAAAGCCCUCGGCUCAACCGAGGAAUUGCACGAGAAACUGCGUGGCUCGAGUCCGGGAGAGGAUAGUGGAAUUCCCCGUGUAGCGGUGAAAUGCGUAGAUAUUGGGAGGAACACCGGUGGCGAAGGCGGCUAUCUGGACCGGUACUGACGCUGAUACGCGAAAGCCAGGGGAGCAAACGGG
rnacentral:rRNA from 1 species